CAUACAACUAGCAAAGCAGACUUUUUCCUGUAAAAAUAGUAGACAUCUUGACCAUAGGAAUAAUUUUUUGCAGAUAAUGUUCUUUCCAUGAUUUAUCUUGCACAUUGGUAUAAAAUUCUAUUUUUAGCAUAUCGUGGACGUUUAAAUUGUGAAAUCUCUUGUUAGAAUAAGAAUAUAAUAUUCGAUGACGUCACUCUAAGUAUUCACAGACUGUGAGUAAUAUAAACAUAAGCUGUACAGAGUAGAAUGCUGAGUGCAAAUGUUCACUCUAAUUCGUCAUUGCAUCUACAUAGAAAUUCUAAACAUGAAAAAUUUAUUCUCAAAGAAAAUUAUUUAUCUUCAACUUAUUAGCUAUUGUGUAUAAACUCAAAAAUGUAUAAUUAUAUCAUACUUACAGGCAUACGCUCAGAACUAUCUCCAAUAGGGAAGUUGAGUACCGAUCUGAGUGUUUGAGCACCAUAAUAUUUAUCAUUUGGAA